rnacentral:snRNA from 1 species
GUAAACACUGAGGAGCACUCACACUAAAAUUAAAACAAUCCACAGAAGAUUAGCAUGACCCCAGAGUAAGGAGUCCACUCAAACAUGUGAAAUGUUCCAUAUUUUU